AUCAUAACCUAAAAUUCAUGAUUCUUGCACAAGUGUUAAUUUCAGUUUGUCCAUUUAAUCUGUAAAAUUAAAUGUGAUCCAAAAAUGUAAGACCUUGAGAUUCAGGAUCCAGAACUGUUCUGCUGAAAGCAGAGGUUCAGUUUCUAGAAACAAACCUAGUGGUCCUCUGAGGUAAUGCAGUUACAGCAUCGGCAUGCGUUGCUUAAAAGGAUGACGGUAUCGAGUCUGAGUUGAGGUUGUCGGUGCAACUUUGUAGUCCUGUUAAACGGUGAGCCAAGAUCUUUUUUUUAUAAUAAAAAGAUGAUGUUUUCAAAUUGGAAAUUCUGGGAUCAGGAUCAUAUUUGAUAAUCCCCCAUAGGGCAAUUUUUAAAUUGUUAAAGGUUUAGGUUGUCAUCUAUGGUUAUGCAUCAGUGGAGAUUUGUGCAUUUUGAGUGCAACCUUUAAAUACAGUACUCGCUUUAAAUCUUAUGUUUUUGAUCACGAGAGAUACAUUUUUGUGGAUGUGACUUAUAGCAUUCUGUAUUUGCUGGGGGGUUAAAGAUGCACAUGCUAAUGAGAACCUGUGAUUUGGUUUUCAGCAUGGAAUAACGCUGUAAUAUUAAACGCAUCCAUGUGAGGCUAAAGUGUGUGUUUGAUGCAAGUUUUGCAUUUACAGUAGACUGUAGCUGGAGUCUGGUGUUUGGGGGGGGGGGAAGGAAUCUGGUUUUUAAUCUCAACUCUAUUUCUGAUGAAUGGAGGAUGAGGAAUCUGUACAGAAAUGGGUAGUGUUUACACUGUAAGCUAAUUGCACUCUAUUUGCUAGAGCAAUAGUGCAGCCAGCUACCAGGGAGUAGGCAGGGCUUUUAGUAACAAUAGCAAUGGAAAAUAUUUCUCGUGUUGGGUCAUUUAAAGUUCAUUGUCAGCUAAUGCAGUCGUGCAAUAGGAGUGCAGGGGAGUGCUAGACUGUAAAGUAGGCAGCUAUUAUUUUGGCCAUCUUGUCACACACAGAGGGCUCAGGAAUGUAAGGCAUUUGCUUGGAGAAAUUGUCGGACCUUAUGGCCUUUUCUGGAGGUGCCAACUUACUGUCUAUGUUCCUGCUGGAAGAGAAGCUGAGUGGGUAGAAACAUAAAGGAGGGAAAAGCUUUUAAUUGCAUUCUGAUGAAAGAUCCCCUAAAAUGCCGCCGAUCCUAAUGCUCUUCCACUGCCUGGCUUUUUUUGUUUUAUCUACGACACAACCAAAAAAUCCUCGACAUGUCUCCAAACAAGUGUUGAUAACUGCAGAACUAUGUUGAGCAUUCUGGCCGUGCAGUUGUGGCCUAUAACAGUUUGUAGAAACAGGAGGCCUCAUUUUCUAAGGUUUAGUCACAGGUAAGGAAAGGUACAGACAUACCAGCUCCUACCCUGUGGAAAUGUUUAACACACGGAGAAGUUCACCUCUCCACAUUUCCAUGCCUGUUAAUUACUCCAGGACUUGUCCUGAAUGAGCAGCUACGUGACCCACAUUCCCAUGGCUUCAGUGACUAGGGCUUAAAGGGACACUCGGUCCUCCUAAACCUGCCUAUAAAAGUAUCGUUUCCGAGUAUUAAUUGUUAAUCUGCAGAAUUGUAGAUUGAAGCACUGAAGCCUGGUUUUGGUCUGGUGUACAUGACUGUGUUUGUGUUUCUUUAGAUGCGCUGGUACCCUACUCCCUCUGAGACUUCCCAGCCUGGAUGGAAGUCCCGGCAGUUUUGUUAGAUAUUUAGCCUCUGGAAGCCACACCUUUGUCCAGCUGAAGUGAGGUUUGCCAAGCUCUGCAUUAAUUUAAUCAGUUUAUUUAAUGGACAAAUGUGCAUUACUAUAAGCAAACAGUAUUUAUAUCUCCUUCCGAUUGUCUCUGGGGGAGCCUGAGUUAAGACCAGUUUGCUGUCGACAAUCUGAGCUUAUCCUUGGCAACUAUUGUGGUACCAUCUUAGCACUUCAAAAAAAAAAACCUCAUGCAAAACCUUUUCAAACUCCAUGGCUCAUAAUUGCUGAGGAAAAUUGAUGCAUUGAAGCAACUGUUGUUAAGCUAGUCCUUCCCUGAGUUACCGCUGCUCCUGGGAGGUUUAGAAGCGUUAUAAGUGAUUGCAUGUUAAAGUCUUUUUGGCAUGAAUUUAGAACGCAGAGUUCUGUGUAUCCUAAUUUUCUUAGUGUAUGUGUUGCCGCUUUUCCUUGGCCUAGACAGCGAAAUGUUUUGUUUAUCUGUAGAACCUUGGUCUUACCUCUGUGAAAGCUAGGCUGUUGUGUAAAUGGCUUAUCUCGCAUGGACCUUGUGAAUGCAUCCCUAUGUUCUGACAAUCCCAGUCCUUAUGAUCAUAUCAAUGUUUGUCAUUAUUUGAGUAAAGGAAAGUACAAAUAUUUUUGUACUUUUUGCAUAAUGUAUAUUUAUGCAUUUUUGUGCAACUAAAUAAUGAACCUGUAUAAGUUGUAUGUUUAGUCGUCUCUUGUGUUUUUGGUGUUUUUGAGCCUAUAAUCCUGUUGAAGUAGUUUUAAAGAAGAAAAAGUGCAAUUUGUUUAAAGGGGAAGUGGGUAUCUGUCAAAACAUGGAAGUAUUCUGAACGUGGCUUGUGCCAUUCUGCUAAAAUGAGAUUGCUGUAAAAUGAUCUGUCAGAAUGUGAAACUGGACUACAAACAAAGGGUUGCUUUUUUGGGGGGGGUGGGGGCAUUUUGAAAUGGGAAGCAGGAUUAGACUGAUGGAGGAAUUUAGUUUGUGGUUUAGAACCUGUUUGUCUUUGUAUCUGCUGUGCAUAAGAUGUAAAAAAUGAUAAUCCCAUCUUAUGAAUAAAAAGUGAAUGCAUAUAUCUGGACAUCUGUCAUUUCUCACAGAGUCAAGUCGGUCGCUAAAGUUAAACGCUCCAACGCUAUGCUAACUCAAAGAAACAUCAGAUGUUGGCAUCAAUAAUUCAUACGAACUUUUCAUUUGUGAUGCACCACUGCAUUAAUGUCUGUUUGCGUCAUAUGUGGAGCUGACCUCCACACUCUGCCUUCAUUAGCUGCUAAAAUGCUCUGCUCAACCUACCGUGAUGGAUCCUCCAGGGACUCUUAAGCAACUCUUCUCAAUAUGACCAGCUGCCUAAUUGAAGUGGUGCUGGUGGUAACUAUUUAUAUUUGACAAUAUUGUGCUAAUUAAGCGACAGUGCCAUGAAAAAGUAUUUGGCCUUUGUUUGUUUGGGGGGGGCACAUUUGUCACACUAAAUGUUUCAGACAAUCAAAGGAAAAUUUAAUACCAGGUAAAUAUGACCCUAAUAAAUACAAAGUGCAGUUUCUAAAUGAUUUUUAAGUGAAAAAAGCUUUUACAAACAUUCCCUGGACAUGUCAAAUGUGAUAGACUCCCAUUGUUAAAUGAAGAUUUUGUUUUAUUAUUUUCAAUGGCCACACCCACGUCAAAUUACUGCCAGACCUUCUGAACCAAGUCAAAAAUCAAAAAUCCCUUAAAUUGGAACCUGUCUGAUAAAGUGAAGCAGGUUAAAGCAAACAAACGCAUUAUGCUACGAUCUAAAUGAAUGACCAGUAGUCAUUGAUGCCUGUCAGUCUGUAAAGGGUUACAAAGCAGUUUGUAGGCUUUGGGACUCAAUAAGCCACGGUAAGGGCAAUUAUCAACGGAUAAAGAAAACUGGCGAACUGAACUUUUUGAAAGGUUUGAGUUCUGCUCUGGUAUAAAAUUAGCAUAUUUUACAAAACAUCACAAAAACGUGGUGGUAGUGUGACUGUCUGAGGCUGCUUUGCCGCUUCCUGAAGGAGAAUAUCUGGCCAUCGCUUCAAUCAUUGAAGCUCAAGCACACUUGAUUUGCAGCAGGACGACGAGUCAAAACAUACGGUCCACAUGUGGAUGGUUCAAAAGUAAGUUUUUGGUGUGGCGUAGUCAAAGUCUGGAGUUGAACCUAAUGAAAUGCCGUUUGUGAUAGAAAACCCUCCAGUGUGUCUGAAUGAAUUCUCUAAAGAAAAUUGGGCCAAAAUUCCCCAAGUGAUGUCAAAGACUCAUCGCCAGUUAUCACAAAUGUUUUCCUGCAGUUCUUGCUGACAAGGGUGGAAGAACCAUUUGUUGGGUUUUUCAUGUAAGCCCAGCUAAGUUUG